rnacentral:tRNA from 1 species
GAGGGGGCGGCCGUAGAGGUGAUGGAUUGUAGCUCCAUUUAUGAAAGGAAACUUUCUCCCCUUA